GUUAGUUGAAGUGUUGAGACCAAGUGAAAUGGAGGCUUGUCACACACCAAAGUUAUCAUCUGGGGAAACAACCAAAGCAACCAAAUGUUGCUGAAUGUUUGCAAGAUUUGGUAGUUGAAGUGUGAAGAAAAUAUCCAAGGAGUGGAAAGAAGCAGAACUGUCAGAUCAGGGCAUUCUAUAUCUUCUUUUCAUUUCAUUAAGAAAGAAACUUGGCAUGAAAGAAUAGAUUUGGAUAAAAAUGGAUCGCUGGCUAAUGAGUAACUGCUAGAUAACUGAUGAACAGCAAGAGAUUGAGCCGCUUACCAAAGAUUACCUGCUCUGGGGACCAGGAUGAUGCUGGCUGGCACAAGGAUUGUGAAGCAGAAGCAUGGUUUAAAGGCCUUUGCCCCAACCCUCCCUCCAAGUUUGUGCCAACAGAUAUAAAGAAUCCAGUCUUACGUAAUGCAAAUCACUGAAGAUCUGUUGUCAAACAUUGAUCGGUAGCUUGUCCCCCUGAUUUUGUGUCCAGAGAAGGCAGGUACAAAGACCUCCUCUGCCUUGCCAUCCCUGUGAACAGGAGUCAUUUCAUCCACACCCAAUCAUUAUUAAUAGACUUCUCAGCACUGUACAGCUUUAAUGAUGCCUCAUGAAUUCAGUUUGAGCAGAAAAACGUUUCCCAACAUAGAGACACUUUUCUACAUUUGACCCCUAUUGUGACCCUCAAAUGCAUUAAAGACGGCUUAGGAAAGUAGUUUCUUAUGGAGCAUACACAAGUCUGAGUAAAUGUCUAUGUAUACAGAGUAUUUCAGAAGAUGAAAAUGGAUGAACAAAAUACACUCUAUGGAAGAAGAAAUAGAAAAAGGAUUAGCAGCAACCUUUUAGCUAUGAAGCUUCAGGAUGCAGGAAAAUUAAGGUUAGAGCAAAAAUCCUGGAGAGUUAAUAUGUAUGGAAAGAUUAAAGAGGGGAGAGAAUGGGAGUGAGAGAAAGGUGGGGAGCAGCUCCAAAAGGUCAAGAUGCAGACAGAAGAGAUGAACACCAUAUCAGAGAGUAAGAGCCUUAUGAGUAGAACCAAAGUUUAA